rnacentral:rRNA from 1 species
GAUAAACGCUGGCGGCGUGCCUAACACAUGCAAGUCGAACGAUCCCGCAAGGGAGAGUGGCGGAAGGGUGAGUAACACGUGGGAAUCUACCUCCUCGCAGGGAACAACCUCUCGAAAGAGAGGCUAAUACCCAAAAGGGUCAGAAAUGAUCAGAGUCGAAAGGCGUGAGGAGAGGAGCCCGCGGCCUAUCAGCUAGUUGGUGAGGUAAUGGCUUACCAAGGCUACGACGGGUAGGGGAUCUGAGAGGAUGUCCCCCACACUGGAACUGAAACACGGUCCAGACGCCUACGGGUGGCAGCAGUGAGGAAUAUUGGACAAUGGGCGAAAGCCCGAUCCAGCAACGCCGCGUGGAGGAUGAAGGCCUUCGGUCGGUAAAC